rnacentral:rRNA from 1 species
GAUCCUGGCUCAGGAUGAACGCUGGCGGCGUGCUUAACACAUGCAAGUCGAACGAGGAAUUUUAAAUGAGACUUCGGUGGAUUUUAAAAUUCUUAGUUGCGGACGGGUGAGUAACGCGUGGGCAACCUGCCCUGUACAGGGGGACAACAGCUGGAAACGGCUGCUAAUACCGCAUAAGCGCACAGCAUCGCAUGAUGCCGUGUGAAAAAACUCCGGUGGUACAGGAUGGGCCCGCGUUGGAUUAGG